rnacentral:rRNA from 4 species
UAGGACUCUCGGCAAUGGAUAUCUUGGCUCUUGCAUCGAUGAAGAGCGCAGCGAAAUGCGAUACGUGGUGUGAAUUGCAGAAUCCCGUGAACCAUCGAGUUUUUGAACGCAAGUUGCGCCCGAGGCCGAUUGGCUAAGGGCACGUCCGCCUGGGCGUCAAGC